rnacentral:tRNA from 1 species
GGGGAUGUGGCUCAGUUGGGAGAGCGCUGCUUUCGCACGGCAGAGGUCGGCGGUUCGAAUCCGCUCAUCUCCA